UGCAAACCUCUUUCUGAUGAUUUCUAGUCCCUAAUUUGCCUUCCUCUGUCCUUACUCAGUGCCAAGAAGUGACACUGGAGCUCUAGUGAAGCAGCAAUUGUGAGUUUAUCUGCAUCUCCAAGCAGUAGGUCUAGGAUGACCAUGGGAUUCCACCUUCUUUCCUAGGCAGGAGCAGAAGGAAGUGAGCUCCUGUCAGCACCUUCUUUGCUUCGCCUGUGCCGAAUCAGCUCGCCCAGAAGGAGUGGGCUCCAUGGAACUCCAAUAGUCAAAGCCAUCGCACGAGGCUUCCUACAGAGUUACAUGGAUGUGCAGGCACCAGGACCUGUCCAGGAAAAGACCUCUGCAGGCAACGUGCAACCAGCCCUCAGCUCGACUGCCCACGGGCCCCACAGCCCCUCUGCACAAGCCAUCUUCUGCAUGAGGAACAGAAAUGGCCUUCUGCAGGUCAACGGCCCUUCAUCUUUCUGCUCUUACUGGUGCUGUUGACCUCAGUUGCUUGUGGGCUCCUCUACACUCUACCAAGAUGCAACAUUUGACUUCUCUGCUGUCUCUGAUCACAGUCUUCUCCCAUCCAAGGGAUGCUCUCUCCAGUCCUGUCUGCUUUCUACCAGGCAUUAGUCACAACUGGAGACUGGAUUAAUUUACUGAUAUUGUACAAGGAAUAGCCUCCCCUGGAGACCUGGCUGAUGUGAUCAAGAACUCACAAAUGGUAUCUAACCAAACGUCCAUUCAGGAGGAGAGUACCAGCAGAAGCAGAGGAGAGAGAUGGAAAAUGCCUUUCUCUUGAUGGAAAGAUGUGGUGUGCAUAGGGCCGUGCAGCCUGGAAUGCUAAUGGGAAUAAGAGAGCAGCAUCAUGCUUCUACUAGUGAGGAAUGACAAAACCUGAUGAACUUAGGAAGAGGUGUCCUGGCUGGGUAAUAGUUACUUGACCUCCAGCAGAAGGAAGAUGAAGAUCUCUCUGCCAGUAGAGAAUUCCUGUGAAUGGCAAGCCACAGCAGUGCAACCUUACCUACUAGAAGGUGAGCAACCCACCAGCUGCUGGAGGUAGAUCCUGCUCCUUAUUUCCAAUGGAAAUUGUUGUCACCACCUAAGGAGAGGAUGAGGUAUGAGGGGCUGCCCUGGAUCUAAUCCAGUUAGUGUAUUUUUAUCUCACUGGGGAUUUUCAAGGAGCUAUCAUCAGUAUAUGACUUUUGUGCAACCAGAGCUGCAUUAAUCAAGAGUGAUCUUUGGCCUAAUGAAUGUGCUAGUAAUAAGAGGUCAUCCAAUGUUCAGAUUCCAUCUGAUUCAGGUUUUGCUCAGAUCUGCACCCAGGGCAGAUAGGCACAGCCUUUGAAUCUAGGCACUUUCCACCUCUCUGAAUAUAUUGGAAAGAUUGCAGUGCCCUUGAUAUCUGCAUGAGAGAAGGAUUUGUCUGACAGCCUAUACAGAUGUCUGGUGUGGAGCUCAAUGGUUGUGAUGAACUUGGGUAGGCUGCAAAAUGGAUGGAGGAAAUGUCUCUGUUAAAAACAUCUCCAAGGAAAGACAGGAGCUGUGAGUAACUGGGAGAGGUGGGAGCACAGACUCAGCUGAACUGCCUUUCCCAGAGCCUGCUUAGCAUAGAUCAAGGCCCUCAUCUAUAAUUGACUAGGGGGAUGUUUUACAAGUUCCCUUUCUGGUAUAGAGAGGUAUGAAAUCUGUAAUUAAGUUAAUUUGGACUUGAACAUGGGCAAAGAUAAUGGGCUGGAAAUAACAAAAGAAGAGUUAGGAAAGAGAGGAAGGUGUUGCCAAGAAACAGAUCUAUUGCACUAAGUCCUCUUUUCCCCCUCCCCCCCAUAUCAAAUAAACCAUUUCUAGGAGCUGGGUGGCUGACUGAUGGGACAGGCAGAGCUCAGGUGUGGAAAUGAUUGCUGUAUCAAGAGCUCAGACAAAUGAAGGAGUUGAGAGUUAUGACUCUUCCUCAGAGAACCGAGAAAGGCAAAAGUGGGAGGAAAAUAAUUUCUUUAGCAGGUGACAGCUGUGAGCAGUAGAGUUUAGUGGCAGAGCAGUGGUUUUGGGAUCAGCAGAGUGGUGUUCUGUGCCUGACUUUCCUCCUCCCCACUGGAGUCAAGCACCACUGUGAAGACUUAAGAUUGUUUCUCAGUGGCUUUUAGAAAUUAUAUAAAAUGUGGCAUGUUCAAGCCAAAGGGAAAAUGGAAAAGAGGUCUGCAGAAAGGACCAGAAUACUUAACAGCCAGGAAAGCAUAAGUAAAUAGACAGGUUAUGAUCAAUGAGUUUGUUUGAAUUUGACAGAGCUUUUCUGCAAACAUGGGGGAGGGAAGGGGGGGUGUGAAACCUUCCCCACCACUGUGAGCUGUAAUAAAGGACCUUCUGUUUUCUGAUCCUCACUCUCUGUGAAAAUUGAAAAGGUUAGCCAGGUAAUUGAAAUCGGGACUGGAAUACAAAUACAGUGUGAAAACCCUACAGGUGACAGAUAAAGUUGCAGGGAAAAGAACGAGUCCUUAGUGGAAUUUCUUAGCUGCAAAAAGUCAGGGGUGGAUGAAGGGGAGUGCUGGUUCUUCAAUAUACCUGUUCCUCUUGGGAGGGGAGAUGUGGAAGAAAUGAGAUCUGAAGAGAGCAGACUGAUGCUCACACUUCAAUGAGAGUUCCUUGCUGUAAAUCAUGUAUCCCUGUCGUUUCUGCCUUGGAGCAAUGUAGUAGGUUACCUGGGAAUUGGUAGGUUACCUGGGAAUUGGUAGGUUGCCAUGUCAGACCCAACUUAGGGACUAUUUCUUGUUACAUGCAGAAAGGGAGAACGCGACAGGAGUCAGUCCCUCCUCUCGGGGCUGAAAUACAUAAGCAAACUAGAUGCAACUUGACCGAUGUCAACUGCCUCUUCAUCUUUGCUGUGUGCAGGAACACAAACUGAUUUGCAUUCCUUUAGCCUAAGAGCAGGGAGAGAAAGCAGCUGAUUCCUUGUUACACUGUGUGCUUUAAGUCUCAGUGGAGGGUCUUGUCAUUGCUAUUGUAAUGUAAAAUUCUAUGUGUUGUUAUAUGGUCUGUUUUCCUGCAGGAGCAGGUAAUCUGAGCUGGGAGGAAAGAGUGGUGCCGGGCUUGGGGGAAGCUGAGGCUUGUGAAUUUUGAGUUAUUGAGGUAGCAAAACCUGCCUUCAGUUAACAAUCAUAUGCCCCCAGACAUGCAUAAAUUGGCAAAACAGAUUAUAUAUUUUCCAGAAUGGGCAAACUCCGAGCACGGGUUAUUUUAAUUCCUAGUUUUAUUUGUGAGACUCAUAUGCAACUGAACUCAAUUUAAUUGUAGAAGUUAAAUGCAACUACCUCAGCUUUAAUUCUAGGCAGCCCCACUCUAACAAUUAGAGAGACCCACUCACAGCACAUAUUGCAAAUCCAGCUGAGGUAACUGACUGUGUCUCUGUUAGGUGUGAAGCUCUGAUUUGAAAUAAAACCUCUUAAUAUGGGCUACAGUUCAAACAUAAGAGGUUGAGGUUUUUCUGAUAACGGAGAAAUCAGGUCUAAGUUUAAUUUGUGUAUCUGCUGGUAGAUGAAUUGUUAAGUGUGAAUUUGUGGUGUUAGCCAAGUUGGUUCACGUUCAGAAACACCCUCUGCAGGUAGCAUUUGCUUAGCACAAUGUCGACUAGCAGAAACUCCAGUCUGUAAGUGGUUAAAUAAACAAUAACUAUACCUCCAA